rnacentral:rRNA from 1 species
UAUUGGACAAUGGGCGAAAGCCUGAUCCAGCAAUACCGCGUGUGUGAAGAAGGCCUUAGGGUUGUAAAGCACUUUCAAUUGGGAGGAAAACCUGCCGGUCAAUACCCGGUAGCUUGACAUUACCUUUAGAAGAAGCACCGGCUAACUCCGCGCCAGCAGCCGCGGUAAUACGGAGGGUGCGAGCGUUAAUCGGAAUUACUGGGCGUAAAGCGUGCGUAGGCGGUUCGUUAAGUCAGAUGUGAAAGCCCUGGGCUCAACCUGGGAACGGCAUUUGAAACUGGCGGACUAGAGUUUAGUAGAGGGGAGUGGAAUUUCAGGUGUAGCGGUGAAAUGCGUAGAUAUCUGAAGGAACACCAGUGGCGAAGGCGACUCCCUGGACUAGAACUGACGCUGAGUACGAAA